AGACGUGCGUUCGCACCAUCCCCUAAUUGACAUAAUCUUGUACUCAUUUUAUACCUAUGAAGGCACUUAAUUUAAUGUUUCUGAAUUGGCACUUGAAAUAUGAAUCCAAGAAUUAUACAUUUGGCACAAUUUCUAUCUUUUUGUGGAUGAAUUGAAUCUGUUUAUUCUGUGUACUCAUAUAGUUGAGAGGUUUUGUGGUGCAGGUACAAAGCAUGGGGUGCUCUUUUGGGAAAACAGUUAGCAGAAAGAGAUAUUAUAGUCACAUCCAUUGAUUACAGAGUUUCCUGUAUCAGUUGUGCAAAGGAGUUGCUCAUUGUCUAGGCCAUGGAGUGCUACAGAAGUUACCUUUUGUUGGUUAUUCAUUCGUCUUCCUUUUCAUUUCAUUGAUUCCAUCCUUCUAUAAAUGUCAUUGUACAAAAAUAUCAAAAAUCUGAUCUUGAUCCGUUGGAACUACAUGGAAUAGAGAUCUGAAGCAUCAAAAUCUCUUGGUGGACACAGAGAAAGGCAUACUGAAGAUUGCAGAUCUUGGGCUUGGAAGAGCCUUCACAGUCCCUCUCAAGAGCUACACUCAUGAGAUUGUUACACUUUGGUACAGAGCUCCUGAGGUGUUGUUGGGAUCUACCUAUUACUCAACUAGAGUGGACAUGGGUUAAAUUUAUUCUUCUUUCUUCAUCUUCCAUUGCAUUAUAUGAAUUUGAAGAAGAAUAGCCUUAAAAUGCUAAUUUGUUUGUCUGAAUUGGCUCAGUUGUAUGUGUGGUGUCAUGAUUUUUGGUAAUAAAAAAAUUAUAGUUGCCUUCAUGAAUUAUUUAAUAUUCAUGAUAAUUGCCUAAUAGCCAUCAUAUCCAAGAAAUGAGUGGAGUUGUAGUCUUUGGUGUCAUAGUUUCACGAAUUACCAUAAAAUUGAUGUUCCUGUUUCAUUGAAUUGGUCUCUUGUAGGAGAGACAUUGAAAUCCCCAUUGCUCCAGCUUCUCUGUUUCUAUAAAAAUUGUAUCCAACAACUGUACUUAGUUCUUGACUUCUUGUACUCUUCCUAAAACUUAGCAACUUUAUUGAAAUUUCUUCCGGUUAUGAAUUUCGAUUUUUAAACUCAACUAUUUUUUUUCUUUGGGUUGGAUUACCAAAAUGUUUAAAAUAGAUAUUGUGCCUUUUCCAGAACAGCAGCCAUGUUCAAUCGUUCAUCCUCAAAUGAUCGAGCAUCCUUAUGUUUUCAGUAUGACUUGAAGAAAAAAAGA